UACGUAGGGACCAAGCGUUGUUCGGAUUUACUGGGCGUAAAGGGCGCGUAGGCGGCGCGGUAAGUCACUUGUGAAAUCUCUGAGCUUAACUCAGAACGGCCAAGUGAUACUGCAGUGCUAGAGUGUGGAAGGGGCAAUCGGAAUUCUUGGUGUAGCGGUGAAAUGCGUAGAUAUCCGGAGGAACACCGGUGGCGAAGGCGGCUUCCUGGACCGAUACUGACGCUGAGGUGCGAAAGCGUGGGGAGCAAACAGG
rnacentral:rRNA from 1 species